rnacentral:rRNA from 1 species
GCGGUGGAGGCGCAGCGCUGAUCAAGGGAGCAGCGUGCACGGACGAAGGCCUUCGGGUUGUAAACCGCUUUCAGCCGGAAAGAAAUCGCCAAGGUUAAUACCUUUGGUGGAUGACGGUACCGGAAGAAGAAGCACCGGCUAACUACGUGCCAGCAGCCGCGGUAAUAA